rnacentral:sRNA from 1 species
UUCCUUACUGUAAUAGCCAUUUUUGAAAGGUCUGUGUCCUAAAGGGGUUGCAUCACUCUUAUUGAGUGACUCUUUUAGUUUUUCACAAAAACUAUUGCUUUUGGAGUAUUGGACGGGGUAGCAAAAACUUGAUAGCUCUUCUUUGCGCUUAAUCCGGUGCCAGCCAGUGUAGCCCCUCUGCCUCAUCUUUCUCUACCUCAUGGUGAUUUAUUUUUCCAAGAGCCUUUUUUUUUUUUUUCUUUCCAUAUCACUUGGCCUGAAUUGGAGCUACCCUAGCCACCAUGGUAGAUCUCCCAAAGUCUAAAUAUGAGGAAGAAGAGGUCAGAGAAUUUAUUUGAGAUUCUACUUCCUGGUAGGCAUGUAGCCUCCACCUCAGAUAUAUGACAAGCAGUUGGAUGAAAGAGAACACACAAUCGAUGAAUGGAAAGAACUUAUCUACAAGGAAGUAAUGAACUCAGAAGAAAAGACUAAAAAUGGCGUAGUAAAAGGACAGCCUUCUCCUUCAGGUGCAGCAGUGAACAGCAGUGAGAGUCUCCCUCCAUCCUCGUCUGUCAAUGACAUCUCCUCCAUGUCCACCGACCAGACCCUGGCAUCUGACACUGACAGCAGCCUGGAAGCCUCGGCAGGACCCCUGGGUUGUUGCAGGUGACUAGCCGCCUGCCUGCGAAACCCAGCGUUCUUCAGGAGAUGAUGUGAUGGAACACACACACACACGCAGACACUCACGCACACACACAAUUGCAGACACACAACAUCAAGAAAACAGCAAGGGAGAGAAUCCAAGCCUAAAAUUAAAUAAAUCUUUCAGCCUGCUUCUUCCCCAGGGUUCUGUAUUGCAGCUAAGCUCAAAUGUAUAUUUAACUUCUAGUUGCUCUUGCUUUGGUCUUCUUCCAAUGACGCUUACUACAGAAAGCAAAUCAGACACAAUUAGAGAAGCCUUUUCCAUAAAGUGUAAUUUUAAUGGCUGCAAAACCGGCAACCUGUAACUGCCCUUUUAAAUGGCAUGACAAGGUGUGCAGUGGCCCCAUCCAGCAUGUGUGUGUCUCUAUCUUGCAUCUACCUGCUCCUUGGCCUAGUCAGAUGGAUGUAGAUACAGAUCCGCAUGUGUCUGUAUUCAUACAGCACUACUUACUUAGAGAUGCUACUGUCAGUGUCCUCAGGGCUCUACCAAGACAUCAUGCACUGGGGUACCACAUGGUCCAUUUCAUGUGAUCUAUUACUCUGACAUAAACCCAUCUGUAAUAUAUUGCCAGUAUAUAAGCUGUUUAGUUUGUUAAUUGAUUAAACUGUAUGUCUUAUAAGAAAACAUGUAAAGGGGGAAUAUACGGGGGGAGUGAGCUCUCUCAGACCCUUGAAGAUGUAGCUUCCAAAUUUGAAUGGAUUAAAUGGCACCUGUAUACCAAUUUGUAGAAAGAACAUAUGUGAUACUUACGUAAAGUGUGGGGGGAGUGGGUAACAGUUUUCAGGCACGAAAUGGUUUGACCUUUAGAAGGCAGGUGUGAAUAAAAGCUGUGAGUCUUUUCUGUGACGGUAAAGAGUAGGAGAGACUGGAGGGCAGUGUGCGGUGUGAACUAAGACUGAAAGGAGAUCACUACCCAGAUACUAGGAGACACUGGUGUCCCUAUUUUAGAGAUUUGGCCCUAUUCCCAUCUGUCAUUUCUCAAUUACUGGUCACAACAAGAGGCCACUGGAGAAAGUGGCAGGUGGUGAAGCAAGGUUAUUGUGUGUGCUUUUGAUGAUAAGAAUCUCUCUCUGGAACUGAGCAGAAUUGCCUCCGUGUGAAUUCCUUCAACAAAAAAAAUGAGCCUGCCUAGACUACUUUCAGAUUAUGGAUUGUGUUUUCCAUGUGUGGGCUGCUUCCCUGAUUCAUACUCUGCCAA